GGAAUUAAAUCGAGAUGCAUCAAUCUUUUGAUAGUAUUAAAAUUUACAUGUCCCAAUCUUCCAUGCCAAAUAUUAGAAGAAAUAACAUUCAUCACAAGAGCACUUUCAAUAAUAAAAGGAGAAGAUACAGAUAAUUUAAAUAAACCAUUACUCAAAAAUUCUUUUCCGAUAAAAUUCACUCCUUUCGUUAUAACUACACUAUUACAUUUAAAAACUAACUUAAAACCCUGCUGAACUAAAAGGGAACCACUAAUCAAAUUCUUUCUAA
rnacentral:lncRNA from 1 species